AUGAACUAUGAGGAAGCGGUAAUGAGCUCAGAUUCCGCAAAAUGGCUUGAGGCCAUGAAAUCUGAGAUGGGAUCUAUGUAUGAGAACAAAGUGUGGACUUUGGUUGACUUGCCCGAUGAUCGGCAAGCCAUCGAGAAUAAAUGGAUCUUCAAGAAGAAGACUGACGCUGACGGUAAUGUUACUGUCUACAAAGCUCGACUUGUUGUGAAAGGUUUUCGACAAGUUCAAGGAGUUGACUACGAUGUGACAUUCUCACCCGUAGCGAUGCUUAAGUCCGUCCGAAUCAUGUUAGCAAUUGCUGCAUUUUAUGAUUAUGAAAUUUGGCAAAUGGAUGUAAAGACUGCAUUCUUGAAUGGAUUUCUGGAAGAGGAGUUGUAUAUGAUGUGGAAGAGGAGUUGUCUAUGA
rnacentral:rRNA from 1 species